rnacentral:lncRNA from 1 species
GGAUCAAAGGGCUGAUUCAAGGCGCUGAUUGAUGAAGCACUUCUUUGGGAUUGUACUCCACUAUAGUCCAUGUCACCUGCACUGGAACUCCAAAAAUCGUCGGGUAUGCUGUGUUGCUUUGCUCUUUCGUCUUUAAUUCUCAGUCCCUUUGAUGAUUGAUCAACCGCGUUAAUUGUAGAAGGUUUAGCACAGCAUCCAAAACAACCUCUGCUCUGUUACAAAUCAGGUUUCACCAUAAACAUGAUUACCACCAGUGAUCAACAAAUUAAACCUCAUUUCAGCUAUAGCAGCUUGAUUGAAGACUGACAAGGUUCCACAAAUUAAAAAAAGUGUGCUAGAAGAAUAAAAUCAAGCAUUCUCAUAUUGAAACACAGUUUCGUUUGUUAAGCUAUACGUCCUGGUGGGUCCUCCACCAGAAAAAAGGAGAAAAAUAUCAAGAAAAGAGAAAGUGGCAAACUAGAAAACUAAUUCUAGUCUUGCAGCAUGUUGUUAAGUGAAAAAAAAUCCCAACGGCAAUCACAUCACAUUCUUUGGCCCAAAAAGAAAAUUACAAAGUAUGAUAGUCUACUAAGCAAGCCAAAAAAAUAUUUCAUUAAAAUAUCUCCAAUGCCAAUAUCCAUUAAAACAAACAGAGCUUAGCAUGACCAAAAUCAUCGCAAGGAUAUAAAUUUCAUCAUCAAAUUAAAAGUUAUUAUCUACUAGGUCUACGAAGACUGGAACCAAAUUGUUCAAUAUAUCAUUUUUGACCCACAGAAAGCUAAAAUUUCAUAGAUUAGCUGUCUCAGUGUGCAUGUAUGAUAUUUGUAUCAUAGUUGCUCCAAAUUAGCUUAGCUGAAACAAAGUUCAAUUGAAGCCAGGAAACAACACUACUGCUAAACAAUGCGUGUAUUCAGCAAAAAAAGAGAAGAAAAGAAAAGAACAGCCAUCCUCUCUUGGCACAUACUUAAAAAGACAAGAAAUGGACAAAAUUUCCGUACACUGAAAAGGGUCUUGCAUUUGUUCUGAAGUGAUUCCAUGGUGACGAACAGAGCAGACCGGAAACAAGCACCAGAAAACAAUACAAAUGAACAGCAGGGAUUCUUCUUAAAGCAUCCCUCUGUUUGGGUAGAGAAACAACACCAAGAAUACAUGAUACCAACAAAAUCCUAUGCUAAAGAAUAAUAGCCCAAUCUAUGGCAUAUCGGAUUGACCAUCACCUGAAGGAAAGAAUGACAAAUACAGAAUAAAAAGCAGAGCAUGUUUCUCUGUUCACUCCACUCAAUCUCGCUUACAGAAUAAGCAACACAAAAACAUAAAAGAUUCUAAACCAAGUGUAAAAGUAAACUUAGACUACAGUAUUGAUCAUCCUUCUGUUUUAGUGAUCCGGAGAGCUAAAGGACAAUAUUACAAGAUAAAUUUUUAUAGGCGUUUGAUCUUUUGUGAUAAAGGCAUAAUUAAUAAAAAAAAAUUUCUCCAGAACCAAACAGAAUUCAUUAAUGAUAUAUAGUUCAAGAAACCGAAAAGCUUACCCCAUGCAUGCAAUAAAAUGACAGAUCCAGGAAGGAGUAAAUCUACAAAUAUGCAUUUACAAGCGCCACGCAAGAGAUGUUGAUAAUGAAACCCUAAUUUUAGGGAGGAGAGACCUAACAAUCCUGCACAGUAAUCAAAACAACCCAAUCAAAUCCAUUAAAUAAACAAACCUUUUCAGUUAAAAACCUUUCCAUUGAAAUCUUCUGCUGACAAUCAGAGAAAAGAAUGACACAGAACUAAAAAAAAACAAAAAAACUAGCAAAUACAAGAAAUAGAAGUUGUUGUUGUUUCCUCAGAAAAAUUUUCUUUUUUUUGUUAAAAAAAAAAAGGAAAAUUAGGUGAGACCUCAAAAAUGGCAUGGUUGGAGAUUAUGGGUUCUUCUCUCCUUCCUUUGAAAAAUUUGCUCUUUGGCUACUGUACUGAUUCAACCAAAGAGAUCUUCCUUCCUGUGUGCCUCCCUUUUAAGUUUUUACAGUAAAGUCAGUCUCUUUGUUGUGCAGUUGUUUCUCAAACAAAUUUAUUUGCUGCCCAGAAAAAGUCGGUAAUUGGUAUAUAAUAUAGUGUUUAUCUGUAUAAGUUAAAUAAUCCGAAUUUUUGGCACACCUGUUUCGUACUUUACGACUACCUGUUCUGGUUAACUGAGGGACAUCAUGGGGCCCAAUGUUAAAUACAGAUCGUUGGUCAUAUCUACGGUUAAGAUUAUUUCCAAGAUUCACUUCCGUUCAUCCAUUUCUUGAUAUAAUUUAUGAAAAGUUGUUGCUAAACAAAACAUGAAUGCUUCUGGGUAACGGCUGAUUUAGUCCAAUACAAGUAAAUGAAAUUCCUUUUCCAAAAAAAUAAAAAAGAAAUAUUUGCAACCUAACCCAUAAGAGCGAUAGUGAGACCCACAAUAAAACAAUAAUACAAAGAAUUAUUAUUACUAUUAUUAAUGUAUUUGGUAAAGUGUGACAAUGAUUAAAUUCAAUAAUUGUUCUUGCAUUUGGUAAUGGUUAAUUAUCAUACAAUGUGUUGCUGAAGCUAGGUGGUGAGAAUUGGAGGAAGGAAUUCAGAUAUGUUGCCAAGAAUGCGAGCUUUGGUGUCAGGGAAAUGCUCAAAUCCUGGCAGAGUUGUAACAGUACCAUUGUUGGUGAUUUCAAUGGGAUAACGAAGAAGGUGACCUAUAAGAUCUUGAUCAAAAACUUCACUUGAAUAACUUUCCCAAAGUUCAUCAGCAAUCUUAUUCACUAGUUGAAUACAUUCUUCACUUUCAGGAUAUUGAAAAGAGGGUUCUAAGAGUCCAAGGUGCUCAUACCAUAAUGCCAAUCUAAAUCCAUAUAUUUGACCCCUUGCUGGCUGUGCUGUUGCUAGAUGAUGAGGUUGAAAUGCUCCCAUUGCGAUCUCUGAGUCUCUUGCACCAUCCAUUGACCUCUGGUUGAUGUUGGCUGAUCCGAUGAUUAUGUACUCAUCAUCAACUAUUUUCAUAUUUGGUAUGAAAGAAAAUGUUAAUUUUACUCAGUUUUAUGGAAUUCAAUAUAAUUAAACUAAAUUUGAAAUGAUUAUGUUAUGAUUAUGUAAAUAUGAGUUGAUCACUCACCGAUCAUCAUUUUGGCAUGAACAUAGAUCAUGAAGCGACGAGCCUGUUGAGCUCUACUAUAAUCAGAAUCAGGUUCUGGUGUUUCUGGAGGUGCAUAUUCUCCAAUCUUCUUUGUCUCUCUGUUACCUAGGCAAAAAAAUGAUAAAUAUUCUCUAGGAUUUGCUUUAAUUCCAUUCCUUUUAAGUGCUUCAGUAAUAUCAUAAUACAUCAUCUCCAUUGUUCUUCUUUGCCAAUCUAGAAUUGCUUGAACUGAAUCACUCUCAGGAAUACCUUCAGGCCACAUUGGAAUCACAAUGUAAACUGUAAACCUUUCUCCUGCAUCUAUUUUACUAACUAUUUUUAAUGAUAGCUCUUUCGGAAUAAGAUGCAAGGCAUUGAUGUCCUCAUCUCUUAUAUCUUUUGAUUUCCAAUCAAAUGAGCUUCCAAUGAAAUACUGAUUUUCUAUGUAGAUAAAAUUCUUUGCCCGCCGAAUUGCAUUUAUAUAAGCAUCUUGAAUGCUUCUAUCAAUGAUGUUGUCUUUUCCACUUACAAGGCCAACUGCAGCUGCAUCUUCAGGCCUUUCAGGAAAGCCAACAACAGCACCACCAUCAAUGGAACGAAAUAAUUGAACAUUCCAUGUCUCUGUGUCUGCAGAUUGCAACACAGGCAAUGGCCGAAUUAUGUUUGCUUCAAGUUCAUAUUGUGGAAUCAGAAACUUUUCUCCAACUUGCUUUUUCCACCUCUGUUCAAAAUUGUAAAGAACAUCCCAAGCUACGGGCCCUUCUAGCUUACAAUGAAUAUCAUGCCAAGGCUCUCUUGGACCGCCUUUAUUGAUCGAUGCGCCUUCAAAGUUUCGUUGAUGAAAGUCAUCAUGAUGGAUUGAGUUCAAAGUCUUGAAUAGAGGAUGAUCUUGUGUAUCAUAUCUUCCAUCACAUAAAUCAAUGCCUCCAAUAAAACUGACAAUUCUUCUUUUAUUCGAUGUGUCGUCAGGCAUUUCACAGUCAACAACAACUGUUUUCUGAUGGUGAGUAAACAUAGUAGAGAUUGCAAAUCCUUGAACUUUGCUUCUUCCAUCAUCAGGAUUUCGAGGGCGCAAAACGCAAUGCACUUUUGUGUUCUUGAAAUAGAUCUUAGUUUCUUGACCAUGGGUUGCCAUCAGACCAUCCUUUUUUAGGUGCUUAACAGAAGUUCUAUCUUUCCAAACUAACACAAGAACUGUAACACCUUCAUCAGCUUUUUUCUUCAGUAACUCUCCAAGUUUGACCUCUCCUCCUGGUUUAGGCCUAUAAGGAUCUCUUACCAGAGUUAUUUCAGUAUUCACAGACCAACCAGUUAUGUAAAUCAAAUGCUUAGCAUUACUAAUAGCAUCAAAAAUUUCUUCCCAGCAUCGAUGAGCUUCGUAGCUUUUUCCUCCUAAGAGAAUUCUGGGAAUAAAAUUGUUAGGAACAUGAGCAUCCUGAUAUAAAGUAACACGACAACCAUGUCUUUGAUUAAAGAAUGUGUAAGGAACUCCAUCGUAUCGCGGAUUUUUUAUUCCUUGAGACCAAUUAGUGUCUUGUGUGACACUAACAUAUUGCAGCUUGACGUGAAUCUUGGAGCCAAUGGGAUUGUGUAGUUCAUCCAAUAUCUCGACCCAUCGGUCUAUUAUAUACCCUUUGAUGACAUCUUCAACUGGGAUAUAAGCUCUGCCAAUUAAUGUUGCCCCAGCAAGUUGAUCAUCUUUCACUGUGAAUAUUACAUUUGAGAUCAGAUGGGCACAGUAUAUGUGGAAAGACUCGAACCAUUGGGGGUUAUAAGGUUGAUUUGUUAUCAUUCUUGUUCUUCCAACUCUUGCCUUGUCAAGAUCAACUGUUGCAUACAGUUUAGAACAAACUAUCUGGAAAACAAAUUUAAUGAUAAUUGUCACAUUGGAAGAAGAAAAAAAUUGUUUAUGAGAGAUAUUUUUCAGUGCAAGAAAAGAAGAAAGGAUUACCUCAGGUCUACAAAGCACCAUUCUUUUCAUUUUGGAUAGAAAUCUUUUUCCACAAUUUUGCUGUCCAAUACCCUCCAAAUUUUAAGGAAAUAAAACACAAAAGUAAAACGGGUUAAGGGAUUGAAAAAAUCUAUAAUUACAUUAAAUUGCAAUUUGGAAUCGGACGAUAGCUUGAAAAUAUUAUUAUUAUUAUUAUUAUUAUUGUUGCUGCUGCUUUAUGCCUUGUCUUUCUAUCCUGGGCUUAAAGCCGUCGCUAAAACGUGGGCCUCGAUGGGCCCAUUUUCUUCCUUAGACUAACAAGCAGUGGAUCUCGACGGCACAAGAUCCAGCAAAACAUCACAAGCAACUAAGCAAAAACAAAAUUAUUAUUUUUUUAUUUCAUUAGGAGGCACGAUGAAUUGCAAUAAUAUUUAUGAUUUAUGGCCAAGUAAUAAAGAUAAAACCAAUGAAAAUUUUUAUGGCUGAGAAAAUUCGAACCGAAGACCUUCUACUUCUCGUAUUAGUGAUUAGAGAGAAGAUGAAUAAAAAAAAUUGCCAAUAAUUUAAUUUCUCAAAUUGUGAUAUUCUGUUCUAGACUAAAGAUAAAGAAAAAAGGAUAGAGGAUAAAAAAUUAUUAGGAAGCAACACCUAUUCACCCACUAACUUCUAAUCAGAAUUAAAGGCCAACAAGAAAAAUCUUUUGUUAUCGUGUGAUCUAGCAUUUUGGGAUUCUUAUAAUUUUUUUUUUUUCAAUUCAUAUAAUCAAGUGACAUUUCAUUCUUGAAAUCUCGAUUAGUCUCACAGUCUCAUUCAUUUUUCUACAUCUCAAAAAGAACCAAGAUGGAAAUAUAAAGAAAAGUAUAUAUCUUGUAAUUUUUCAAUUCUUGAAAAAAAAAAGAAAGAAAAAAAGAAAAAGAACGCAUGCACUUACCUCACUGAACAAAUUGAAUCCACAGCCAUUUUGAAUUAUAUCAAUCUCAAAUACUGUCACAAAAAGAGUCCCAUGAAGCAAACGUGGCAUUCUUUUCAAUCUUUGUAAUUAAUCACCGGAGCAGAAAGGGGUAAAAAUAUGCCUGUAAGAAUUGCAACAUCCACAAGAAGAAAGGUUCGCUAGCAUAUAGCACCAACCCUAAUUCAAGAAAUAAGUAAAAGAGUUGCAGUAGUAAGAUUCAAUACUUGGAGAUGGCGAUGACAAACCUUGUGGAGAAAUCUGGUGUACUGUUAAGAGAUUCAAGAUAAGUUUUUAUCAUUAUUUAUAGAUAUGGAGAGAGAAAAAUAGAAUAUCAUGCAUUUUGAAGAUGAAGGAAGAGAUAUAUUUCUCAAUAGGGUUCAAGUUAGAAUCAAUUCCCGCCUUUGCUUCCUUGGAUUUCAAGUGUCAAGCCAUUGUAAUGUAAUUCCACUUUAUAGUUUUGUUAUGAAUUUCAAUGGAAUAUUCUUUAUGGAACUCUCCGGUCUCUGAAAUCCACAAUUUGAAUUCAUAUCGGGUAGGUGCACUGGCUUGACUAAUUUGAAUUAUUUUUUUUAAUUUAAUCAUCCUCCCGAUUGUUUAAAGGACUCUAUACAUAGAGCUUAAACUUAAGACUUUUGGUUAAAGGAGAAGGAAUCUCGGACUCUAUACAUAGAGCUUAAACAUAAGACUUUUGGUUAAAGGAGAAAGAAUCUCUGUUAUUUCAUCUCACCUUUCGGUAUAGAGUUAAGUUUUUCUUGAUAAUUAAGGUUUGAAUCGAAGAUAUAUUCCUCUUUAGGCCCUGAAUCUUCUAUUAAUAACUCCGACUAAAUGGGCUUCAUAAUAUCCACUAAAGAUUGAAUUGGGCUUCUGAUUCAAGACACUACAAAAAGAAGUUUUCGAAGCAAGUUGGGCCCAGCAUAUCAUGUACGAAAUGGAGAAAAAAUUCUAAUGGGCUUAAGGUGACACCGAAGAUGAAAAGGACAUAUCAAGAAGGGGAUCAUGGUUAUAAUUUGUGCAGAUUAAUGAGGCAAAGAAGCAGAACCACAUCUGACCUGAAUUUAUAUUUUCUAAAAAAAAAAAAAAUUAAGCACCACUAAAUUAGUCUCCUUAUAAAUAUGCAUAACCAGAAGGUUGACAUUCAUUAAUAAAUCCAAAAGCUUCAGACAGUCCAACAAAUUAAUUAAUUUAAAAGACGAAAUAGAGGACUUAGUCUUCUUCUCCAAACAAAAAACAUAUGUAUUUGUUCAUCAAUGGUUUUUUUCAAGUCAAUCAACUUCCAACUGAAAGAGAGACUUUCUUCUAUGUAUUUAUUCUUAUGGAACUCCAAAAAUCGUCGGGUAUGCUGUGUUGCUUUGCUCUUUCGUCUUUAAUUCUCAGUCCCUUUGAUGAUUGAUCAACCGCGUUAAUUGUAGAAGGUUUAGCACAGCAUCCAAAACAACCUCUGCUCUGUUACAAAUCAGGUUUCACCAUAAACAUGAUUACCACCAGUGAUCAACAAAUUAAACCUCAUUUCAGCUAUAGCAGCUUGAUUGAAGACUGAAAAGGUUCCACAAAUUAAAAAAAGUGUGCUAGAAGAAUAAAAUCAAGCAUUCUCAUAUUGAAACACAGUUUCGUUUGUUAAGCUAUACGUCCUGGUGGGUCCUCCACCAGAAAAAAAGGAGAAAAAUAUCAAGAAAAGAGAAAGUGGCAAACUAGAAAACUAAUUCUAGUCUUGCAGCAUGUUGUUAAGUGAAAAAAAAUCCCAACGGCAAUCACAUCACAUUCUUUGGCCCAAAAAGAAAAUUACAAAGUAUGAUAGUCUACUAAGCAAGCCAAAAAAAUAUUUCAUUAAAAUAUCUCCAAUGCCAAUAUCCAUUAAAACAAACAGAGCUUAGCAUGAUCAAAAUCAUCGCAAGGAUAUAAAUUUCAUCAUCAAAUUAAAAGUUAUUAUCUACUAGGUCUACGAAGACUGGAACCAAAUUGUUCAAUAUAUCAUUUUUGACCCAAAGAAAGCUAAAAUUUCAUAGAUUAGCUGCCUCAGUGUGCAUGUAUGAUAUUUGUAUCAUAGUUGCUCCAAAUUAGCUUAGCUGAAACAAAGUUCAAUUGAAGCCAGGAAACAACACUACUGCUAAACAAUGCGUGUAUUCAGCAAAAAAAGAAAAGAAAAGAAAAGAACAGCCAUCCUCUCUUGG